rnacentral:tRNA from 1 species
GGCUCUGUGGCGCAAUGGAUAGCGCAUUGGACUUCUAAUUCAAAGGUUGUGGGUUCGUGUCCCACCAGAGUCA